rnacentral:rRNA from 1 species
UACGUAGGGAGCAAGCGUUGUCCGGAAUCAUUGGGCGUAAAGCGCGCGUAGGUGGCCCCAUAAGUCCGCUGUGAAAGUCAAAGGCUCAACCUUUGAAAGCCGGUGGAUACUGUGGGACUAGAGUACGGAAGAGGCGAGUGGAAUUCCUGGUGUAGCGGUGAAAUGCGCAGAUAUCAGGAGGAACACCGGUGGCGAAGGCGGGUCUCUGGGCCGAUAUCGACGCUGAGGAGCGAAAGCGUGGGGAGCGAACAGG